UUGACUUAGUGGCGGACGGGUGAGUAACGCGUGGGUAACCUGCCUCACACAGGGGGAUAACAGUUGGAAACGACCGCUAAUACCGCAUAACCCGCUAGGACCGCAUGGCCCGGACGGAAAAGAUUUAUCGGUGUGAGAUGGACCCGCGUUGGAUUAGCUAGUUGGCAGGGUAACGGCCUACCAAGGCGACGAUCCAUAGCCGGCCUGAGAGGGUGAACGGCCACAUUGGGACUGAGACACGGCCCAA
rnacentral:rRNA from 1 species